rnacentral:rRNA from 1 species
AUUGAACGCUGGCGGCAUGCCUUACACAUGCAAGUCGAACGGCAGCACGGGAGCAAUCCUGGUGGCGAGUGGCGAACGGGUGAGUAAUAUAUCGGAACGUGCCCAGUCGUGGGGAUAACGUAGCGAAAGCUACGCUAAUACCGCAUACGAUCUAUGGAUGAAAGCGGGGGAUCGCAAGACCUCGCGCGAUUGGAGCGGCCGAUAUCAGAUUAGGUAGUUGGUGAGGUAAAGGCUCACCAAGCCGACGAUCUGUAGCUGGUCUGAGAGGACGACCAGCCACACUGGGACUGAGACACGGCCCAGACUCCUACGGGAGGCAGCAGUGGGAAUUUUGGACAAUAGGGCGCAAGACCUGAUCCAGCAAUGCCGCGUGCNGGAUGAAGCUCGUGUAC